AUGACGGCCUUCAGCAGUAGGGUUGGCCUGAAGCCAUCCCCCUAUAGAAUUAUGUGGAAAGCCGUAUUCGAUGAAAGUCGUAUGUAUGGCUUGGAGGGAGAUCUUUUCUAUCUUUCGAGAUCCACCCUACAAUAUGGGGUCAAAAAGCCAAAAAAAUAA
rnacentral:rRNA from 1 species